rnacentral:rRNA from 1 species
UACGAGGGGGGCAAAUGUUGUUCGGAAUCACUGGGCGUAAAGGGAGCGUAGGCGGGCUUCUAAGUUAGGUGUUUAAUCCCAGGGCCCAACCCUGGUCAGGCACCUAAAACUGGGAGUCUUGAAUAGUGGAGAGGACGAUGGAAUUGGAGGUGUAGCGGUGGAAUGCGUAGAGAUCCCCAAGAACACCAGUUGCGAAGGCGGUCGUCUGGACACAUAUUGACGCUGAGGCUCGAAAGCAUGGGGAGCAAACAGG